rnacentral:lncRNA from 1 species
UCCACUUUCCUCUGUUGAGGACUCCCAGACUCAUCCGGUCUUUUCUGAUUCAUCACCUAAUAUUCUCGUCUCUUCUUUGCUUCGAGACAACUGAUUUCCUCAGAUUCGGGCUAACUUUCUAAUCUUCAGACUUUGAAGAGUUUUUGGAUUACCCUCUGGGAUCGUCGUCGUAAUUCUUUCAUCGUCUUUUCACCGUUCUUCUAUCCCUUG